rnacentral:rRNA from 1 species
UUAUUUGAGAGUUUGAUCCUGGCUCAGGAUGAACGCUGGCGGCGUGCCUAACACAUGCAAGUUGAGCGAUUUACUUCGGUAAAGAGCGGCGGACGGGUGAGUAACGCGUGGGUAACCUACCCUGUACACACGGAUAACAUACCGAAAGGUAUGCUAAUACGGGAUAAUAUAUUUGAGAGGCAUCUCUUGAAUAUCAAAGGUGAGCCAGUACAGGAUGGACCCGCGUCUGAUUAGCUAGUUGGUAAGGUAACGGCUUACCAAGGCGACGAUCAGUAGCCGACCUGAGAGGGUGAUCGGCCACAUUGGAACUGAGACACGGUCCAAACUCCUACGGGAGGCAGCAGUGGGGAAUAUUGCACAAUGGGCGAAAGCCUGAUGCAGCAACGCCGCGUGAGUGAUGAAGGCCUUCGGGUCGUAAAACUCUGUCCUCAAGGAAGAUAAUGACGGUACUUGAGGAGGAAGCCCCGGCUAACUACGUGCCAGCAGCCGCGGUAAUACGUAGGGGGCUAGCGUUAUCCGGAUUUACUGGGCGUAAAGGGUGCGUAGGCGGUCUUUCAAGUCAGGAGUGAAAGGCUACGGCUCAACCGUAGUAAGCUCUUGAAACUGGGAGACUUGAGUGCAGGAGAGGAGAGUGGAAUUCCUAGUGUAGCGGUGAAAUGCGUAGAUAUUAGGAGGAACACCAGUUGCGAAGGCGGCUCUCUGGACUGUAACUGACGCUGAGGCACGAAAGCGUGGGGAGCAAACAGGAUUAGAUACCCUGGUAGUCCACGCUGUAAACGAUGAGUACUAGGUGUCGGGG